UACAGAGGUCCCGAGCGUUAGGCGGAAUCACUGGGCUUAAAGCGUGUGUAGGCGGUUCCGUAAGUGCCUUGUGAAAUCCCACCGCUCAACGGUGGAACUGCUGGGCAUACUGCGGGUCUUGAGCCAGCUAGGGGCGACCGGAACAGACGGUGGAGCGGUGAAAUGCGUAGAUAUCGUCUGGAACGCCGAAGGUGAAAACAGGUCGCUGGGGCUGCGCUGACGCUGAGACACGAAAGCCAGGGGAGCAAACGGG
rnacentral:rRNA from 1 species